CCGCCCAUCUUAAAUUGGUGUGAGAAGUGGAGAGUCCUUCUUAAUGAAGGCUCUUAACUAUUACGCGUUACCUUAAAUUUCUGAUCAGUUCUCCUAUGAUUUGACACCAAAUUUAAUUUAGAUUUUUAUGACAUGUAGAAGACUGAGAGUUCUUCUACUCUAAGUAUCUGAAUUACCAAAAAUUUACUCAGUAAAUUUAUUUGGUACAUGGGAAGUUGGAGCACCAA
rnacentral:lncRNA from 1 species